GACGUAGGGCGCGAGCGUUGUCCGGAUUUAUUGGGCGUAAAGAGCUCGUAGGCGGUCUGUCGCGUCGAUCGUGAAAACUUGGGGCUUAACCCUGAGCUUGCGGUCGAUACGGGCAUGACUGGAGUUCGGCAGGGGAGACUGGAAUUCCUGGUGUAGCGGUGAAAUGCGCAGAUAUCAGGAGGAACACCGGUGGCGAAGGCGGGUCUCUGGGCAGUAACUGACGCUGAGGAGCGAAAGCGUGGGGAGCGAACAGG
rnacentral:rRNA from 1 species